GUCAUGAGAAGCGCCACCAUUGCCUCCACCCCCACUGGGCAAGGAGCUCGAGGUGUUUGGGGGUUCGUGUUUCCUACACAGGCCAAAACACUAUUGGAGCCUUGGAGUUUGAAACCAGUCGUUUGGAGCAGAUCAGCUCAAAAGAGAUCCUUUGUACCAUUUGCAGACUACCCAUCUCCCUCUGGCCUGGAGUCUCGCUCGCCUCUGUUUUCCCCCUGUGGACACACAUGAGACUCAGAUCUUGGCUCGUCGUAGAGGAAUCGAUAGCAAGAAUCAACCAGAGAAAGGAUGUAUACAAGGUACUCGAUGGUUUUCCCCCAGCACUAGCUU